rnacentral:lncRNA from 1 species
AGGGAUCUGGAGAUGUCCUAGAGAGGUUUGGGGGCAUCCAGGGGGUUCUGGACUCAUGCAGAAGAGUCUGGAGAUGUCCAAGGAGGAUCCAGGGAGUCCCCAGGCCUGCCUGCAGCCGGACCCGGUGACACCGGAGCCCUCCCUCUGGCGCUGUCACCAUCCUCUGUCCCGAGGACGGGAGGUGAACUCUGUGCCACCAGCAGAGGGGACCACGGGUGACAUCAGUGUGGAACAGCCGUGACGCGGCGGCGUUGUCAUUGGGUGUCACCGUCACGCAGAGGGGACAAAAGGAC